GACGAACGCUGGCGGCGCGCCUAACACAUGCAAGUCGAACGGAGCGUUUGAGAGCUUGCUUUUAAAGCUUAGUGGCGAACGGGUGAGUAACGCGUGAGUAACCUGCCCUGGAGUGGGGGACAACAGUUGGAAACGACUGCUAAUACCGCAUAAGCCCACGACCCGGCAUCGGGUUGAGGGAAAAGGAGCAAUCCGCUUUGAGAUGGCCUCGCGUCCGAUUAGCUGGUUGGUGAGGUAACGGCCCACCAAGGCGACGAUCGGUAGCCGGACUGAGAGGUUGAACGGCCACAUUGGGACUGAGACACGGCCCAG
rnacentral:rRNA from 1 species